GAACAUUCUCUCCAACACAGCUAGCUGGCAUUCAGAAGGAGAGACAGACCAGAAAACUAAAUGCCUCUCCCUGGGAGAGGCUACCAACACCCACCCAGUCUGGCUGGGUGUUCUCCACCGCCUUCAACACUGCCGUGAGAAGCCCAGGGCUGAAAGAGAACAUCUAUGCUUUGGUAUUAUUCCCAUACUCAGCUGAAUGUUGUGUUCAGAAGGCUUAUCAGGUUAUCUUGAGAAGUAUGGAUUUCUCCAAAGUGUCACUGAGGUGAUUCUGGAAAAGAGAAAAAAGGAUUUCUGUGCUGAACAGCUGCCUUAACUUCAUAAGUAUUUGCCCUUUUAGAGGAGGAUGAACACAGCAAAAGUAAUCAUGUAGACCUGGCACCAAGGAAAAGUGAUGGCAUUCAUAAAUGUGCCCAUUCACAGUGAGAGAAAUGGGCCGAGUUUUGCUUCAGCUAAUCGAUAUAUUUUUUGUUAGUGUGUCUGUAUUGACAGAGAAGGCCCGGUGAUAGUGGAGUCUCAUCCAUUGUACCCAACUAAUCCUUAGAAAUGCCCUGGGGCUGUCCGGGGAUCCUUGUUUACGGAAUGUUAUUUAGGUGAAGAGAGACAGACUGAUGACUGACUGCUAAGCGGACAAAGGACUGUAAAGGCUGAGUAAAGACUGUGAAGACUGAUAAAUGGAUGAAGAUCAUCUAGAGGGUGACUGAUGAAGAUGAGGAUAUGACCUCCUGAUGAAGUAACCGACCACCAGAGUGCUUGUAACUACUAACAUUGGACAGUAGAUGAUAGGAAAGACGGUGAAAUAAUGUGGAGUGUAAUCAACUAAUCAAAGGUGUGUUUAGGAUAAUGAUUUUGUAGAGUAGGUGUGUGUGCCUUAUAAGGUAAAAAGAUGUAAACUAGAUCAAGACCCGCCUGGAUGCAGUCCUGAGUAACAUGCUCUGACAAGCUCUGGGCAAUCCUGCUUUAGCAGGGGAGUUGGACUAGAUGAUCUCUAUGGUCCCUUCCAACUCUAAAAAGUCAGUGAAAAUUCAGUAAAAUACAGAUCUGUAAUAGGUCAGGCAAUUGGGAAGAGUGUGAGCUCCAACUUCUCAGCCAAUGAGAAGAGAGACAGUAAUUCAGGCAGCCGGGAUAAGAACUAUAAAAAUACC